UACGUAGGAUGCAAGCGUUGUCCGGAAUUAUUGGGCGUAAAGAGCGCGCAGGCGGUCUAUCAAGUCAGAUGUGAAAUAUCCAGGCUUAACCUGGAGGGGUCAUUUGAAACUGGUAGACUAGAGUACAGCAGAGGAUAGUGGAAUUCCCGGUGUAGUGGUGAAAUGCGUAGAUAUCGGGAGGAACACCAGUGGCGAAGGCGAGUCCCUGGACAGGUCCUGACGCUGAGGC
rnacentral:rRNA from 1 species